rnacentral:rRNA from 1 species
UACGGGGGGAGCAAGCGUUGUUCGGAUUUACUGGGCGUAAAGGGCGCGUAGGCGGUCAGCACAAGUCAGUUGUGAAAUCUCCGAGCUUAACUCGGAAAGGUCAACUGAUACUGUGCGACUAGAGUGCGGAAGGGGCAACUGGAAUUCUUGGUGUAGCGGUGAAAUGCGUAGAUAUCAAGAGGAACACCUGCGGCGAAGGCGGGUUGCUGGGCCGACACGUGACGCUGAGGCGCGAAAGCUAGGGGAGCGAACGGG